CCUACGGGGGGCUGCAGUGAGGAAUAUUGGUCAAUGGCCGGAAGGCUGAACCAGCCAAGCCGCGUGAGGGAGGAAGGCGCUGUGCGUUGUAGACCUCUUUUGUCGGGGGACAAAAGGCCGGACUCGUCCCGUCCUGAGGGUACCCUGAGAAAAAGCAUCGGCUAACUCCGUGCCAGCAGCCGCGGUAAUACGGAGGAUGCGAGCGUUAUCCGGAUUUAUUGGGUUUAAAGGGUGCGCAGGCGGGCGUUUAAGCCGGCGGUGAAAUCUCGGGGCUCAACCCCGCCGCGCCGUCGGAACUGGGGGCCUUGAGUGCGGCGGAGGCAUGCGGAAUGCGCGGUGUAGCGGUGAAAUGCAUAGAUAUCGCGCAGAACCCCGAUUGCGAAGGCAGCUUACUAAACUGCCACUGACAUUGAUGCUCGAAAGUGUGGGUAUCAAACAGGAUUAGAUACCCCUGUAGUC
rnacentral:rRNA from 1 species